rnacentral:piRNA from 1 species
UGAUCUCACGUCCUGGAGUGCAUCACCCCC